GACGAACGCUGGCGGCGUGCUUAACACAUGCAAGUCGAACGGAAAGGCCCUGCUUUUGUGGGGUGCUCGAGUGGCGAACGGGUGAGUAACACGUGAGUAACCUGCCCUUGACUUUGGGAUAACUUCAGGAAACUGGGGCUAAUACCGGAUAGGAGCUCCUGCUGCAUGGUGGGGGUUGGAAAGUUUCGGCGGUUGGGGAUGGACUCGCGGCUUAUCAGCUUGUUGGUGGGGUAGUGGCUUACCAAGGCUUUGACGGGUAGCCGGCCUGAGAGGGUGACCGGCCAACAUGGGAAUGGGAAGAGGCCCAAACUUCUACGGGAGGCAGGCGUGGGGGAUAAUGCAACAAGGGCGGAAGCCUGAUGCAGCAACGCCGCGUGCGGGAUGACGGCCUUCGGGUUGUAAACCGCUUUCGCCUGUGACGAAGCGUGAGUGACGGUAAUGGGUAAAGAAGCACCGGCUAACUACGUG
rnacentral:rRNA from 1 species